rnacentral:rRNA from 1 species
GGCUCAGGACGAACGCUGGCGGCGUGCCUAACACAUGCAAGUCGAGCGGAGGAUGCGGCGUAGUAAUACAAAGUAUCCUUAGCGGCGGACGGGUGAGUAACACGUGGGUAACCUGCCUCAGAGUGGGGGAUAGCCUUUCGAAAGGAAGAUUAAUACCGCAUAAGAUUGUAGCGUCACAUGGCGCAGCAAGAAAAGGAGCAAUCCGCUUUGAGAUGGACCCGCGGCGCAUUAGCUAGUUGGUGAGGUAACGGCUCACCAAGGCCACGAUGCGUAGCCGACCUGAGAGAGUGAUCGGCCACAUUGGAACUGAGACACGGUCCAGACUCCUACGGGAGGCAGCAGUGGGGAAUAUUGCACAAUGGGCGAAAGCCUGAUGCAGCAAACCGCCGCGUGAGUGAUGAAGGCCUUCGGGUCGUAAAGCUCUUUGAUCAGGGAUGAUAAUGACAGUACCUGAAAAACAAGCCACGGCUAACUACGUGCCAGCCGCAGC